UCAACUUUAAAAUAGAUGGAAUAUCUAUUAGCACUUUCAGAUCUCUCUCAUUGUUUUUGGCAUGAAAAAGUAUGAGAAGUAUACGUGGGAUGUUUAUUUCCUUGGUUAUUUAAAUGGCUUAAUAGCCAUAUGUACCAUGAGAAAAAUUUAUCUGAAUUUGGAGUGGUGGCUUAGGUGUAUUGUGUAAGCUACAAGGACAAGUGGUCAGAUGAAUAAGGCGCAAACCGUGAGCAACAAGAAUGUACAGUUUUUAAGAAUGAGUUAUACCUAAGUGGUCUAUUCUCAUGCGGUUGCCAG
rnacentral:misc_RNA from 1 species